GGUCGGGUAGCGCAAUAGUAGCGCGUUACUUUCCGGUUAUCUAGCUGGCACAAAAAUCAAUCUGAAUUCUCCCAGUUGGUAAAGGUUCUGGGUUCGAGUCCCAGCUCGAUCG